UGGAGUUGUAGCUCAGUGGUAGAGAACUUGCCUAGCAUGUGUGAAGCCCUGGGUUUGAUCCCCAGCACUACAA
rnacentral:tRNA from 1 species